UACCAGCACCCCGAGUGGUCGGGACGUUUUAUUGGGCCUAAAGCAUCCGUAGCCGGUUCUACAAGUCUUCCGUUAAAUCCAACUGCUUAACAGGUGGGCUGCGGAAGAUACUAUAGAGCUAGGAGGCGGGAGAGGCAAGCGGUACUCGAUGGGUAGGGGUAAAAUCCGUUGAUCCAUUGAAGACCACCAGUGGCGAAGGCGGCUUGCCAGAACGCGCUCGACGGUGAGGGAUGAAAGCUGGGGGAGCAAACCGGAUUAG
rnacentral:rRNA from 1 species